UUUUUUUCCUCUCCGGAAUUUACCCAAAUUCUAAACCAACAACAACAACCCAAUUGUUGUUGGUUUAGAAUUUGGGUAAAUUCCGGAGAGGAAAAAAAA
rnacentral:pre_miRNA from 1 species